AAACUUUCAACAACGGAUCUCUUGGUUCUGGCAUCGAUGAAGAACGCAGCGAAAUGCGAUAAGUAAUGUGAAUUGCAGAAUUCAGUGAAUCAUCGAAUCUUUGAACGCACAUUGCGCCCCUCGGCACUCCGGGGGGCAUGCCUGUUCGAGCGUCAUUG
rnacentral:rRNA from 1 species